UACAGAGGUCCCAAGCGUUGUUCGGAUUCACUGGGCGUAAAGGGUGCGUAGGCGGUCGGGUAAGUCUGAUGUGAAAUCUCCAAGCUUAACUUGGAAAUGGCAUCGGAUACUAUUCGGCUCGAGGAAUGGAGGGGAGACUGGAAUACUUGGUGUAGCAGUGAAAUGCGUAGAUAUCUGGAGGAAUACCGGUGGCGAAGGCGGCAUCCUGGACCGUUUCUGACGCUGAGGUGCGAAAGCUAGGGGAGCAAACGGG
rnacentral:rRNA from 1 species